GGAUGGGUCUUCUUUCGCCGUCUUCUGGGUUCCGGCUGAGAAGGGUAGGCCGUCGUUGCUGUCCUCCUCGGAGUCGACGGGCCUGACUCUUCACCUCGCCGUUGCUGCUUUACUCAUAUUCCGGCGAGGCAGCAAGGGCUCGUCGUCAUUCCCUCGGUUCGACUGAACAGGUACAUCAAUCUAGUCCCCUUCCAUUUUUCUUUUGUUCUAAGUUAACAUCUCAAAUCUGCGUGAAGUCUUGGUUCUAUAUACUAUAUGCGCAAGGGAUUAAUGGCGUUGUGGGUUUGCUACUUUGUUAGCAUCUAAUUUUUUUUAGAGUCCAGUGGGAAUCAUAAACGCAUAGGACAUUCUACAUAACAUGGGUAAAUCUGUAUUACUGAAACGUGACUUUGCUAAGUCCAUUAUGCAUAUAUAUCUCAAUUCUUUAUUCUGACUUUCUAACACAUAAGCAUACUUGUUGGUGUAAAUCAUGUAGCAUGAACUAGAGUAAAAUGAGAUUAGCAAUCACCUUGUGUGUUUUGUGCUUGGUUGGCUGCUGUGCUAAUGAAUUCAGGAGUGAAUAAACUGAAACAUAAUUGUGGAUUUUUGCUUAACCAUUGCAGGCUGAACUCAAGAAAAAAAAUGGAGAAGUUUAAGUUGAGCUUACCUCUUGGGGUCCAGAUUGCAGCUGAAAUAAACUCUCUAUGAUUUUUGGUGCAUAAAGGAAGGAGUAGAUUUGCUGCUGUGAUGAAGAAGGUGAAUGAGGAUGGUUUUAUACUGAACUUAUGGAGAGCUGAUUAGUGUGAAAAGAUGAUGAAUAGUACGGCUAAAUUGUAGAGCGUGGUUGAAGAAUUUAAAGAUGAGAUUUGCUGUUGACAUUCUUGAGAUUUGUUUG
rnacentral:lncRNA from 1 species